UUGACAAGGUUCCAGCCAAUCAGCGCCCUGCCCUCCCCAGGCACGUGAUUGGCUCAGACACAGGGGUGUGGCUCCAUCAGGGCCAAUCAGGUGCCAAGACACUUGGCAGCAGGGUCCUGAUCCGUCUGCCUCAGCCUGCUCCCCAUCCUUCCCUCCCGCUCCCUUGUCCCUCAUCUCAGCGAGGCCACCUCCACAGCAUCGGAGCCAGACUGUCCCUGCCCUCCCCUCCUGGCCACCAGCCCUCCCCACAGCCACUCCAGCAAUCCCACAUCCACUUUGGCACAGUGACCCUCCAAUUCGGGGAAGGUCCUGGAUCCUUCUCUGCUCCCCUCCAACCCUUCCUGCCCCACUGCCUCCCCCCUUCCGCUGCCACAGCCUGGUUCCUGGUCUUGCACCCCCCCUGCCCAUCAUGGCCCUUAGGGUUCCCUUUGAAUUUCCAUCCCAGCGCAGUAAGAACCCGGGGCCCUGACGUUCUGUUCUCUCCUAAGUGGCAGUUGGACUCUCCCCAUGACCCCGCAAGUGUACGUGCUGACCUGUCUCCACGCACAGGGAGUGUUCCAGACUGUGCUCACCUGGGUCUCCAUCAGCUCUUCCCCGCUGCAGCCAGGCUCUGAACACCUGGGAGAUCUCCUGAGGGCUGGAAGGGCACCGUGCCUGUGGCUACAUUUGUGGCAGCGUGUGGGACAGCACAGUUACGGACAGUAGGUGGAGGCCCUAGAGAGCCUGAGCAGGAGGACACGGCAUGACAUAUGCUGGGAAGGGCGCCCUACGCGGCCACGCGGGGAGCUGCAGGGGUGUGCACAGAAGCGGGAGCUCACGGACCUUGUGCAGGAAGGAUUCAAAACAAGGCAUCAAGGCAUGAGAGAACUCCAAGGUAAAGAUCGCUCAGUGCAUAUUUAGGUCCUGAAGGGCCUACCUAUGAGGUGGCCACCAGGGGACAGGGGCAGUGACCGUGAAGAAAUCUGCCCACACACGUGGAAGAUCCCUGACCUCAGCCAAGUUGUGCCCUGGGUAAUCAGGGAUGAGCCCCCCAAAGUGUAUGUUACAUGAGGUUCCCAAGGUGGUGGCCUUCAGCCACUCCCCCCCCCAGAGCCCUCUCUGUCCUCCCAGAAGCCCCUCAAAAGUUCCCUCACUCACCUGCCGACUUCACCCCUGUCCCCCCCCCCGGUAGAAUCACCCUCAGCAGUUCUGUCCAGAACCAAGUAGCUUUCAGGGCCAGGCUGGCCAUUGGUGCUGUCCAGGGUGCUGAACGCCGCCGGGACACCAGGGUGGGGACAGUACCCUCAGCCCACAGGUGGACACGUGCGGGGAUCCAAUAGCAGAACUGACUACUGUUUUAGUGUUUCCUUCAUGCCCUAAAUCCAACCGGUAAGAGCUUGAAAAUACAGGAUGGAGAGAUUUUCUGACUAAAAUGAUGCUUCUGAGCUGAAGCCUGGGGAGAUAGUACUUUAUGCUGAAUGUCCUCAGAGACAGUGCAGAUUCGGAGACACAGCACAUCACCAGCUUCACUCAGAAGUCUGCAGGCUGAAGAUCCGUGGCGGUGGGAACAAUGCUGAUGUGGUUAUCAACCCGCUCAGGAAAUGUUUAUCCACUCCUCCCGAUCAUAACACUGUGCUGGGUGGACAUUCAGGGGCUCGCAAAGAGACGUAAGGUGGGGUCUGAAUCUGGAGGGUUAGAGACAAUCGUGAGUCAACAUUAAGUAUAGAAUACUAAAGAUGAGGUGACACAUAUUACAAUGCUGUCACCAUCUAGCUGGUAAAUUUAGGAAGUAACCAGCUUUGUCAGGAACUGGCGUCCUGGGAGCUCGCUGCGGAGUCUGGGGUUGAGAAAUGUUAACAGGACACCUUCAUGUUACGCCUAGUUUCCUAUCACGAUCCCACAUCUCCAUGAAGGUUAACCUAAGACUUAUUGUUGUUACUGGAGCUUUGGAAGAGGGUCAUCCAUGAACAGUAUUAGCCUCAAGGAAAGGAGAAAAAUGUGUUAGUACUUAGUCAUAGUGUCAGAUAGCAACCAUGUUUCUCUGCAUGUGUGUCUCUCUCUCUCUCUGCCACAUGCAUGCAAUCUUCUGCUUCUUUCUAUGUGCAAAUGUCGAUAUUCUGUACCUCACACUGGCUCUCCCCCAUGGACUCCAGGCACUGACUUCUGUAGAGAUUCACACUUCCAACAUAAUGCACGAGUACAUAAUAGGUAAUGUCCUUCCCUCUUGGUUCGAGUCUAGAGUUCUCCAUUUGGUGCAGUGAUGUCAGCAGUCUGGCCCAGGCCAAUUACCACAGUGAGGAGAAGGCUCUGUUGAGAGGGUUGCAAUUACGUGGUUGGGAGACGCCUCUUCCGUGGUGUCUGUUCUGGGGACACUGGAUGAUAAACAGUGGCUGCACGAGUGAGACAUUACCGAGCACCUGCACGUGCCCCUGACCCAGCGUUUUUACGAGUGAGAUCCCGUUUCGUUCUUAAAACAUCACUGCGAAGUGCCUCAAUUUUACAAGUGAUUGAUAUUCAGAGAGAAAAAGUUAAUUUUCCAUGCUGAUUCGCCCGCUAGGUGGUGGGACUGAGAUUCUCAUCCAGCUCUUUCUUUUAGUGCCAUCUGCCUCCUAUGCGGCCAGUGACAACAAGCACAGUUAUUAAGCCUCUGCUUUUAAUGGUCUUCCUAGGACACUUGCAAGUUGUUCUUUUCCAUAAUGGCACUCACAGGUCUCCUUUGUGAUUUUUCAUCUGCUUUCUUGUGUACAUGGAUGGCUUGCUUGAAACCCUUUUACAUAUUUUCAUGGGCUACAGAGGGGUAAACAGUGUCAACCACCUCUAUGACAGCAUGUUUCUGUCAUAAGGCGAGCCAAAGUGUGUGACCCCUGACCUUUGGGAGGAAAGAUGAGCAACACACACAUGCACACUCACACACAAACACACAUACAAAUACACAUACAAACACACACCCGUGCACACUCACAUAUACACAUUCAUACACAUA